rnacentral:rRNA from 1 species
UACGUAGGGUGCAAGCGUUGUCCGGAAUUAUUGGGCGUAAAGAGCUCGUAGGCGGUUCUGUCGCGUCUGCUGUGAAAACUCGGGGCUUAACCCCCGGGCCUGCAGUGGGUACGGGCAGACUAGAGUGCGGUAGGGGAGACUGGAAUUCCUGGUGUAGCGGUGAAAUGCGCAGAUAUCAGGAGGAACACCGGUGGCGAAGGCGGGUCUCUGGGCCAGCACUGACGCUCAUGCACGAAAGCGUGGGAGCGAACAGG